CCCAGACAGCCAGGAUGUUGGCUUAGAAGCAGCCAUCAUUUAAAGAAAGCGUAAUAGCUCACUGGUCGAGUCGGCCUGCGCGGAAGAUGUAACGGGGCUAAACCAUGCACCGAAGCUGCGGCAGCGAACGUAUCACUUAAAGCGAUUCAGCGGAUUACGAUUGACGGAGCGAAGCGACGUCAAAGCGUAUACAAAGUCGAGUCGGUUUAAGGAUACGUUCGUUGGGUAGGGGAGCGUUCUGUAAGCCUGUGAAGGUGGCCUGUGAGGGUUGCUGGAGGUAUCAGAAGUGCGAAUGCUGACAUAAGUAACGAUAAAGCGGGUGAAAAGCCCGCUCGCCGGAAGACCAAGGGUUCCUGUCCAACGUUAAUCGGGGCAGGGUGAGUCGACCCCUAAGGCGAGGCCGAAAGGCGUAGUCGAUGGGAAACGGGUUAAUAUUCCCGUACUUGGUGUUACUGCGAAGGGGGGACGGAGAAGGCUAUGUUGGCCGGGCGACGGUUGUCCCGGUUUAAGCGUGUAGGCUGGUUUUCCAGGCAAAUCCGGAAAAUCAAGGCUGAGGCGUGACGACGAGGCACUACGGUGCUGAAGCAACAAAUGCCCUGCUUCCAGGAAAAGCCUCUAAGCAUCAGGUAACAUCAAAUCGUACCCCAAACCGACACAGGUGGUCAGGUAGAGAAUACCAAGGCGCUUGA
rnacentral:rRNA from 1 species